UAACCUCCUGGGGUCCGAAGUACUAAUACUAGGACAAAAUCGGUUUGCAGUGAAAGCCCAAGUAUCAAAAUAGACACUUGAUGCCAAGACCCAGCGUGAUAGUACUAGGACAAAAUAUUUACACGCUCCAGGUGGAUUUGAAUUACCCGCCAUGUCAUUUUGACGUUACUGGUUAGUCAGUGUAUAUAUUUGGCAUUGUGGCAGCACUGCUUGAAGUGAGCGGGGAGGGAUAUUUUCGGUCUUCUGUCACAAGACGUCGCAGCAAUGACACGUGCAACGAGAAGAGCUAUAAAAGAUAGUCAAGUAUUGGACUUACUCCAGCAGUCUGAUUUCGAAGACGACGAAGAUGAUCCUUUUGGAGGGAAUGAUACAGACGACGAGUAUAUUCCUUGGAUAUUGGAGAACACGGCCAUCGAAAGCGACAGUGACAGCAGUACCAGCUCAGAACCCGUGAGUGCAAGUCCUCCACCAGCCCCGCAACUUAUUCGAGGACGAGGUCGAGGUCGAUCGCGUACACAGACCCGAAAUUUUUCAAAAGGAACAUUUUGUUGAUUUGAAUGUUAAAAUUUGUUUUUUCUGUAGAAAAUUUAAGUUCCUGCUGUGAAGCAUGCUAUUUUUUUUGUAUCUUAGAUGAUAUUAAUGAUGAUUAAGUUGAUUUCUGCUAGUAUAAAGUGUUAAAACUCUUGUUUUCUAUAAGAUUUUCAAGACUGAUUGAUGUGAUUUAUAUUAUAAGUAAAAGCCCAAAGUGCUAAAUAUAGAACAAAAGAUUA